rnacentral:rRNA from 1 species
AUUGAACGCUGGCGGAAUGCUUUACACAUGCAAGUCGAACGGCAGCACGGGAGCUUGCUCCUGGUGGCGAGUGGCGAACGGGUGAGUAAUAUAUCGGAACGUAUCCAAUAAUGGGGGAUAACUAGUCGAAAGAUUAGCUAAUACCGCAUACGCCCUGAGGGGGAAAGCUGGGGAUCUUCGGACCUAGCGUUAAUGGAGCGGCCGAUAUCUGAUUAGCUAGUAGGUGAGGUAAGAGCUCACCUAGGCGACGAUCAGUAGCUGGUCUGAGAGGACGACCAGCCACACUGGAACUGAGACACGGUCCAGACUACCUACGGGAGGCAGCAGUGGGGAAUUUGGACAAUGGGCGCAAGCCUGAUCCAGCCAUUCCGCGUGAGUGAAGA